GGACUGUAGCUCAGUGGCAGAGUGCUUGCCUAGCAUGUGUGAAGCACUAGGUUCGAUCCUUAGCACCA
rnacentral:tRNA from 1 species